GCUCAGCACAAAUAUAAAAGCGGUCAGAGGGAGCCCAUUUGCUUAGGGGCAGGUGAGGAAGCUGCUGCUAACGGCACUAUUAUUUUAGGACCAAAAUUCAACCUCAUAUUUGGAGCACAUAAUGGGAUGACCCAACUUGGCAUCCAACUGAGGGGUUUGGGACCUCUCCCUGCCCCACUGGACCCCGUAAACCUGAUAGGUGGGCAACGGACCUCACUGACCCAUUCUACUCCAUAGAGCCCAAUCCCUCCUGUAAGAAGGGGACCCAUACGGCAAGGACUUCUCUCACCCCACAUCCCACUAAAAGGGGGCAACAGACCACCAUACCCAAGAUCCAUCCUGCACCACAGACCCCAUCACCCCAUCCCAAAUGGACAGAGGAUCCAGGGAUCCAGCACUCCCCAUGCCAGAGCCAUGGAACUGAGCCUCCUCCAAAGGUUCUGCGUUCUGUAGCAGCCAAGAGAAUGGCUCCAGCCAAUGGGACGUGGGUCCCAUCCCUUCCAAGCAGACACCAAUCUGCAAAGAGGUCCUGCAGACACAGAACCCAAGGCCCUGCCACCAGCACCAGUCCUGCAGCCAAGGACUGGCACGCACCACCAGUGCCCUCCUUUCACACCUGUCCCACAGCACCACCUGGGCCCCCACACCCUGGACUACCAGCCCGAGAGCUCUGCAGUUGCUUUUGAUGCAGUAUUACCUGUGCCCACCUUUCUUCCUGGUCGCCUCGCACAGUGAACCACACGAGGUGUAAGGUUGGGUGGACUGCAUUCAUCACUUGGAGGCAUCUCAGCCUCCUCACCAGCACUGAGGUCGGUGGAGCUGCGGUGGAGCUGUGAGCCCUUCGGUGGGGCAGGAGCGUCCUCUGCUGCCAGGAUUCUCCAGCUUCAGUUCGUCACCAGAUGCAAGGCUAUGCCACGGGGCUGCAGCGAGCCUGCAGCUCAGAAAAGCCCCGAGCACUGCAGAGACAAGCAGGCAGUCUGUGAUGCCUUCAGAGCGUUAUUCACCAAGUUACAAACACCUGCAAAAGCAAACAAGAACCACACUCUGCAGUGAUAAGAAUGCACAGCUUAGCAGACAGGAGCGUAGGGCUUAGGAGAAAGCUCUAUUUCAGAGGUUGGUAGGGAAUUUCACAUCACACAAAGGCACCAACCAAAAGCAGAGUUUCUAACAGCAGUGUUGUCCAGGAGUCCCAGCAGAUGGUGCUGGCACAUUUGGUAUGUGACCCCAUAACAAGGCAGCUUAGGAUGAGGCAUCAGGCAGUGCUGACGACACGCUUUAUGGACAGGUCAUGCUUUAAUAGGUGCCGUUCCAAUGGCAGCAAUUAAUUGAGAGCAAAGGCUUGACACACAAACCUGAUGAUUUACACUCCCACCAGUCAAGGCAGACAGACCAAGACUAUGAGGCUGACCUGUAACCAGGCUUGGGACGCAGCCUUGAGAAAGGGGGAAUGCUGACAGCGAAUGGGAGCUGACUGCCUAGAAGGGCUACAAAUAUUCUUGGGAACAAGUUGGCUGGGCUGGUUAGCAGGGCUUUAAACUAGAGAUGAUGGGGGAAGGGGAUGUACUGGGUGACAGAGAAGACCACAGGAAUGCUUUCACCUUGGGAGGUGGUAAGGGAAAACCCCAGUCUUGCCCUGGAGGUAUUAGGGAGGGCUCCUCUGAUAAGGCAAUGAGGCCAAUAGCCAAGCUGAAGUGCCUCUAUACCAAUGCACACAGCAUGGGAGAUAAACAGGAGGAGCUAGAAGCCGUGGUGCAAUUGGGAAAGUACGAUCUAAUUGCUAUCAUGGAAAACAUGGUGGGAUGAAUCCCACAAUUGGAAUCUCCUGAUUGAGGACUAUGUUGUAGUAGGCGUCUUGCGGGGGCACGGGAUGUACGGGACAGGCCUCUCCCUAAGCAUAGAGAGACAGUGCUAUCGUGCUGACCUUGAUGCAGAGAAAACAGGAGAAGAAGAAGGAUGAGAAAAGAAUGUGGAGACAGCCAAAUAGGGCACGGUGUUGUCUGGCAUGAACCAAUCAGAGUGGGACAUGACAGCACGGUUUUGUAGGUAAAAAUGUAAUAUAAGCUGUGUUU
ensembl:lncRNA